rnacentral:tRNA from 1 species
CAGGAUGUAGCUAAAGCAGAAAAGCACCUCCCUUACACUGAGAAGUUACCCGUGCAAAUCGGGUCACCCUGA